CAAGUCGAACGCUAUUAUGAGGUAGCAAUAUUUCAUAGUCGGAGUGGCGCAAGGGUGCGUAACACGUGGGUAAUUUGCCGUGAAGCUCGGGAUAACUCGCUGAAAGGCGAGCUAAUACCGAAUGUGACUCCUGGAGGGUAUCCUCUGGGAUUUAAAGCUGGGGACCGUAAGGCCUGGCACUUCUCGAUAAGCCCGCGGCCUAUCAGCUAGUUGGUGAGGUAACGGCUCACCAAGGCUAAGACGGGUAGCUGGUCUGAGAGGACGACCAGCCACACUGGAACUGAGACACGGUCCAGACACCUACGGGUGGCAGCAGUCGAGAAUUUUUCACAAUGGGCGCAAGCCUGAUGGAGCGACGCCGCGUGGGGGAUGAAUGGCUUCGGACCGUAAACCCCUGUCAUUUGCGAACAAACCUUGCUAUUUAAAAGAUGGCGAGCUGAUUGUAGCGAAAGAGGAAGGGACGGCUAACUCUGUGCCAGCAGCCGCGGUAAUACAGAGGUCCCGAGCGUUGUUCGGAUUCACUGGGCGUAAAGGGUGCGUAGGUGGUCGGGUAAGUCUGAGGUGAAAUCUCCGAGCCCAACUCGGAAACUGCCUUGGAUACUAUUCGGCUAGAGGGUUGGAGGGGGGACUGGAAUUCUCGGUGUAGCAGUGAAAUGCGUAGAUAUCGAGAGGAACACCAGUGGCGAAGGCGAGUCCCUGGACAACUCCUGACACUGAGGCACGAAAGCUAGGGGAGCAAACAGGAUUAGAUACCCUGGUAGUCCUAGCCGUAAACGGUGCACGUUUGCUGUAAGANGAAUCGACCCCUUUUGUGGCGAAGCUAACGCGUUAAACGUGCCGCCUGGGAAGUACGGUCGCAAGAUUAAAACUCAAAGAAAUUGACGGGGGCCUGCACAAGCGGUGGAGUAUGUGGCUCAAUUC
rnacentral:rRNA from 1 species